UACAGAGGUGGCAAGCGUUGUUCGGAAUUACUGGGCGUAAAGGGCGCGUAGGCGGUCCGAUAAGUCCCGUGUGAAAGCCCCCGGCUCAACUGGGGAACUGCACGGGAAACUGACGGACUUGAGUUCGGGAGAGGGAAGCGGAAUUCCGGGUGUAGCGGUGAAAUGCGUAGAUAUCCGGAGGAACACCGGUGGCGAAGGCGGCUUCCUGGACCGACACUGACGCUGAUGCGCGAAAGCUAGGGGAGCAAACGGG
rnacentral:rRNA from 1 species